rnacentral:rRNA from 1 species
UUGGGAAUCUUGGACAAUGGGGGAAACCCUGAUCCAGCCAUGCCGCGUGAGUGAUGAAGGCCUUCGGGUUGUAAAACUCUUUCGACGGGGACGAUAAUGACGGUACCCGUAGAAGAAGCUCCGGCUAACUUCGUGCCAGCAGCCGCGGUAAUACGAAGGGGGCUAGCGUUGUUCGGAAUUACUGGGCGUAAAGCGCGCGCAGGCGGUCUUCCAAGUCAGUGGUGAAAGCCCGGAGCUCAACUCCGGAACUGCCAUUGAAACUGUGAGACUUGAGUACGAGAGAGGUGAGUGGAAUUCCCAGUGUAGAGGUGAAAUUCGUAGAUAUUGGGAAGAACACCGGUGGCGAAGGCGGCUCACUGGCUCGUAACUGACGCUCAGGCGCGACAGCGUGGGGAUCAAACAGGAUUAGAUACCCUGGUAGUCCACGCCGUAAACGAUGAAUGCUAGCCGUUGGAUAGCCUGCUAUUCAGUGGCGCAGCUAACGCAUUAAGCAUUCCGCCUGGGGAGUACGGCCGCAAGGUUG